GAUGAACGCUGGCGGUGUGCUUAACACAUGCAAGUCGAACGGUGAAGGCGGAGCUUGCUCUGCUGGCUCAGUGGCGAACGGGUGAGUAACACGUGAGCAAUCGGCUCUUGACUUUGGGAUAAGCGCUGGAAACGGCGUCUAAGACUAGAUACGAGCUGAGAUGGCAUCUUCAGCAGCUGGAAAUAAGUUCGGUCAGGGAUGAGUGCGCGGCUGACCAGCUUGUUGGUGAGGUAAGGGAUCCCCAAGGGGUCGACGGGUCGCCGGCCUGGGAGGGGGACCGGCCACCCUGGGACUAAGACAGGGCCCAGUGUCCUACAGGAGACAACGGUGGCGAAUCUUGCACAGUCGUCCAGAGCCUGUUGCGACAGCCCCGCGUGUGGGACGACGGCCUUUGGGUUGUGAACCUCUUUUAGCUGGGAAGCAGCGAAAGUGACGGUACCUGCAGAAAAAGCGCCGGCUAACUACGUG
rnacentral:rRNA from 1 species